rnacentral:rRNA from 1 species
AUUGAACGCUGGCGGCAGGCCUAACACAUGCAAGUCGAACGCGUGGCGGACGUGUGAGUAAUGUCUGGGAAACUGCCUGAUGGAGGGGGAUAACUACUGGAAACGGUAUCUAAUCCCGCAUACCAUCGGAUGUGCCCAGGUGGGAUUAGCUAGUAGGUGGGGUAACGGCUCACCUAGGCGACGAUCCCUAGCUGGUCUGAGAGGAUGACCAGCCACACUGGAACUGAGACACGGUCCAGACUCCUACGGGAGGCAGCAGUGGGGAAUAUUGCACAAUGGGCGCAAGCCGGAUGCAGCCAUGCCGCGUGUAUGAAGAAGGCCUUCGGGUUGUAAAGUACUUUCAGCGAGGAGGCGUUACCCGCAGAAGAAGCACCGGCUAACUCCGUGCCAGCAGCCGCGGUAAUUC